AGAGUUUGAUCAUGGCUCAGAUUGAACGCUGGCGGCAGGCCUAACACAUGCAAGUCGAGCGGUAGCACAGAGAGCUUGCUCUCGGGUGACGAGCGGCGGACGGGUGAGUAAUGUCUGGGAAACUGCCUGAUGGAGGGGGAUAACUACUGGAAACGGUAGCUAAUACCGCAUAAUGUCGCAAGACCAAAGUGGGGGACCUUCGGGCCUCAUGCCAUCAGAUGUGCCCAGAUGGGAUUAGCUAGUAGGUGGGGUAACGGCUCACCUAGGCGACGAUCCCUAGCUGGUCUGAGAGGAUGACCAGCCACACUGGAACUGAGACACGGUCCAGACUCCUACGGGAGGCAGCAGUGGGGAAUAUUGCACAAUGGGCGCAAGCCUGAUGCAGCCAUGCCGCGUGUGUGAAGAAGGCCUUCGGGUUGUAAAGCACUUUCAGCGGGGAGGAAGGCGGUGAGGUUAAUAACCUCAUCGAUUGACGUUACCCGCAGAAGAAGCACCGGCUAACUCCGUGCCAGCAGCCGCGGUAAUACGGAGGGUGCAAGCGUUAAUCGGAAUUACUGGGCGUAAAGCGCACGCAGGCGGUCUGUCAAGUCGGAUGUGAAAUCCCCGGGCUCAACCUGGGAACUGCAUUCGAAACUGGCAGGCUAGAGUCUUGUAGAGGGGGGUAGAAUUCCAGGUGUAGCGGUGAAAUGCGUAGAGAUCUGGAGGAAUACCGGUGGCGAAGGCGGCCCCCUGGACAAAGACUGACGCUCAGGUGCGAAAGCGUGGGGAGCAAACAGGAUUAGAUACCCUGGUAGUCCACGCCGUAAACGAUGUCGAUUUGGAGGUUGUGCCCUUGAGGCGUGGCUUCCGGAGCUAACGCGUUAAAUCGACCGCCUGGGGAGUACGGCCGCAAGGUUAAAACUCAAAUGAAUUGACGGGGGCCCGCACAAGCGGUGGAGCAUGUGGUUUAAUUCGAUGCAACGCGAAGAACCUUACCUGGUCUUGACAUCCACAGAACUUUCCAGAGAUGGAUUGGUGCCUUCGGGAACUGUGAGACAGGUGCUGCAUGGCUGUCGUCAGCUCGUGUUGUGAAAUGUUGGGUUAAGUCCCGCAACGAGCGCAACCCUUAUCCUUUGUUGCCAGCGGUCCGGCCGGGAACUCAAAGGA
rnacentral:rRNA from 1 species